AUUUGUAUAGUUUAAUUAAAACGUUACAUUUUCAUUGUAAAAAUAGAAGCCCUCUUUCAAAUA
rnacentral:tRNA from 1 species